rnacentral:rRNA from 1 species
CCCUUAGAUGUUCUGGGCUGCACGCGCGCUACACUGAAGCUAUCAACACGUUUUCCCUCCCUGAGAAGGGCGGGUAACCUUUUGAAUCAGCUUCGUGGUAGGGAUCGGGGCUUGCAAUUGUUCCCCGUGAACCAGGAAUUCCUAGUAGACGCGAGUCAUAAGCUCGCAUCGAUUAAGUCCCUGCCCUUUGUACACACCGCCCGUCGCUACUACCGAUUGAACGUUUUAGUGAGGCAUUUGGACCGACGCAUCUCAGUUUAACCGCUGGUUUGUGUUGGAAAGACUUCCAAACUUGAGCGUUUAGAGGAAGUAAAAGUCGUGACA